UGCAACCUUCUAGGGAGGAUCCAGCC
rnacentral:piRNA from 1 species